GACGAACGCUGGCGGCGUGCCUAAUACAUGCAAGUUGAGCGCUGAAGGUUGGUACUUGUACCAACUGGAUGAGCAGCGAACGGGUGAGUAACGCGUGGGGAAUCUGCCUUUGAGCGGGGGACAACAUUUGGAAACGAAUGCUAAUACCGCAUAAAAACUUUAAACACAAGUUUUAAGUUUGAAAGAUGCAAUUGCAUCACCCAAAGAUGAUCCCGCGUUGUAUUAGCUAGUUGGUGAGGUAAAGGCUCACCAAGGCGAUGAUACAUAGCCGACCUGAGAGGGUGAUCGGCCACAUUGGGACUGGGACGCGGCCCAAACUCCUACGGGAGGCAGCAGUAGGGAAUCUUCGGCAAUGGACGAAAGUCUGACCGAGCAACGCCGCGUGAGUGAAGAAGGUUUUCGGAUCGUAAAACUCUGUUGGUAGGGAAAAACGUUGGUGAGAGUGGAAAGCUCAUCAAGUGACGGUAACUACCCAGAAAGGGACGGCUAACUACGUG
rnacentral:rRNA from 1 species